CAGUUCUGUUAGUCAGUGUACCCUCGGCCACCAGAUCUGCAAACUGGGAUGCAGGGGUAUCCCAAAAGGAAGUGAUUGGAUCAGAUUGGUGGGAAGAUGGAGAGGAGGCUCCAACUGCUGUGUUUGGAAAGAAGCAAUACAAUACCUGUUUGUAAGUUGCCAAUUAAAAGAUGGAGACUGGAAAACCCUUCAGGCACGGUAUACAGAAUAUGUGAGGCCAUUCAAAUGAGAUGACAUCACUGGGGCCUUAUACCUAUUGCAUGUUUAGACUUAGCUUGUCAUUCAGCAUCCAGAGAUUACAGAAAAGAGUAAUUUGCUUUUCCUGUUGCUUUUGUAGGUCCAUAAAUAAGUAUGCAAGUCACCAUGUUUGAAACUAAAUCAUACUAUUAAUAUUAAUAAUAUUAGAGAUAAUUUAAUAUUGUAAUAGACUUUGUAUCUUAGCCUACCAGCUCUUUAUUAAGUUUAGUUACAUCUAGCAAAACUGUUAUUUCAUCAGCUGUUUGAUUUGUAUAUUUAAAAAGCAGGUUCAAAAUGUUAGGACCAGAAAAGAAGUUAAAUAUUAUAAAUAAUGUCUCAGAUUAAUGAGUUAAACAUUUGUAAAGAAGCUAUAUACAAGCUGAUGUUCUCAAACAAUACAAAAUGGACACAUAGUGGGCAUGUCUACACAUGUACUUUAAUGUGCAGUAGACUAUUUUGUGUAAAAAAAACCCCCUCAUGACAUUAUACUAAUGCACAGUAAAAUAGCCUACUGCACAUUAAGCAUCACUUAAAGACUGUAUAAAUGUACUACUGUACAUUAUGGCAGCCUAAUGUGCAUUCAUUCAGUGGUUGGCACAUUGGAAGUACUAAAUUUAAUGUACAUUAGAAAAAGUGCAUUAAUGCACAUGUAGACGCAGCCACAGUGUACUAGACCAGCAAUUAUUAUGAGAACAUAAGAGAAAGAAAAGGCAAAAUAUCCCAGAGCUCAUUUUGAGACUAAUUAUUUAAAUAGCUAGCAUUAAAGAGACUUCUAUAUUUUGUAUUACCAAUUAUCAUCUCUCUUCAACUCAUAAAUAGAUCUAUGAAGCGGAAACAUAAAAGUAGAAAAGGAUCUUGCACCCAGCGUAUGAACAUGAGACACUAAAUGGUCUAUUAUAGCUCAAAUAUCUCUAGUAGAUAUUGUUUCAAGGAAGGGCCAAAUUGUACAAUACCUGUUCUAGUGAAACUCCCUACUGAGUUUGGUCUCUAACCUCAGUUAAAUUAGGCCCUAAAGACAUUAUUUUUAUUAACCAGUAGAUCCAUAAUAUACUAUUAUUGCACUAACCACAUCCUUGAGGCCAAAAGCCUAUGUUUUCAGUGAGAGACAGAGAGGAAUAGCAUCUCUAUUAAGUGUUUGUCUGUUUCUUUAAUUUAGGCCCAAGCUUUACUUUACACAUUUAUUCCUGAUUACAAUAUUUCUCAAAUGCUUGUGAUCCUGUAAUUUUCUUUGUGUGGAAAAACAUUCCAUCCAUUUAAGUCAAUUCUGGAGUGUGUCUCCAUGUGCAAUUAAUGCACCUCAAUUUUCUGUGCACAAAUUCAGGUGCGUUAAACUGUACCCAGGUGCACAUUUACACAUGUGCCCAGGCUGGGAGUAAAUUUAGCCUGACAGGAGAAGCUUAGUCCAUGGCUGCUCUUGCCUUGUGCUUCUUCCCCCUCUCUCCCCCACUCCCCCACCCCUCAGCAGCAGCCAGGGGGAUCUUCAGGCUUCCCCAGGUGCCAGGCCUGGGCUGGCAGGGGGCACUCGAGGCAAGCCCAGGCUGGCAGGGUGGAAGUGGAGGUCAGCUCAAGCCCUGGGAGCCAGGAAGUCACAGCUGCCAAGGGGCUGCCUCCACCUCUGCCCAGCUGUCUCUCCUGCUCUGCACCCCUGGGAGGAGAAGGGUCCCUGUUGGAUGUAGCUGCAUGUCCCAUGGCUGGAAGAGGAGGGACAGAAGGCAAGAGGAUCCAGGAAGCCAGGAGAGGCAUGGCUAGUGAAGGCAAUCACAGCUCCUGACAGGCUGGGGUGGGAGAUACAUCUCCAUGCAAUAGAGAUGGAGUUAAUGGGAUGCACCCCUAUAGACUGGAGCUGCUUGGUGGGGUGGUGCAGGUUGGGGGAGUGCAUCCCACUUUCCCCCUCAACUAGACAGGGCUGGACUGGGGAGAGGGGCUGCACUGGCCAAUCAGGUCUAGCUAGCUGUUUGGCUACUUGGCUGUGCUUGGCAUUCUCUGGCAGCUUUCUGGGAAGCACAUGGGAGCAUCUCCAAUGUGCUGCCCUUGGCCAAUGCAGACAGCCUGCACAGACAAAGGUCUGUUCUGUUCUCUCCCGACCUAACUUAGGGUGCUUAGAGUAAAGCACAAAAUUUAGAUCACUUCCGCCUUGGGCUUUUUGAAUGUCUGUAUUUAGCCUAACUCUGCCCUACAAUGCAAGAUCAUGGCCUGACAUUUAUUUUUUAAAUUGCACAAUCUAGUAACCUGUACACAACCUCCUCUCCUUCCCCUCUGCCUUGGUUGAACACGUGUAAUAUCAGGUUAACUUCAGCCCUCUCUUACAAUGAGUCCAAACAUAAUUGAGGUUAGAAUUUGAUCCUGAGAUAUCAAAUUGAGUUAUAUUAAUAGAAGGGAGUAAUGUGUAAGUUUUGGGGGGAUAUCAGUGGGAAGCGUGGAAAGAGGCAGAAGGGGUACAGGUAAAUUAAAGGUUUUGGAGACUGUAGUAGUAAUAGCCUGAAAUGAUCUUCUUGCUGUACAAUACUCCUAUGUGCAAGUCAAACCUAUAAAAUAUAGCAUGUAUUAGAAAAGAAUGGGAUUUUUUUAGUGAAUUUGAAAAUGUUGAUUUUACAGAUGGGUUAACUGAAGCAAACAUUCUUCAGAAAUCUCUGUCCAUUUUAAGCCACACUGACCAAUUGUGACUGUCCAUGAGUCUAAGCAUUUUCCUAAAUGUUACCUGCAAGCAACUUGGAUGGCUGUCUCUAAAGAAUACAGUUUUGUACUCCUCAUUGGAGAGUUGUCAUCUUCAUUUAAAUGAGGAGAGAGUCCUCUUGUGGUGAACUGUGAGUUAUACUCCUAAAUUGUGAGAUGGAAAGGGAUUUCCCUGUAGCUGUUUGAGUUUUGCGAAGUAGAGCUCAUGAGCAUGCAUUCAGAUUGUAAACCACUGUUUGGCUCUUCUUGUUCAUAGAGGGAUAAUUAGCCAUGUUCGUCUGAAGUUAAGCAGAAAGCAGGCUAUAUUUAUACCUCACAGACUAACUACAUCAGAGAUGAAUAGCAAAAGUGUUUGUGAACCCAAGCUCACUUCAUCAGAUACUGUGAUGAAGUCAUCUUGUUCUUGCUAUGUUUGUGACCAUUCUUAAAUACAAAAUUUUCACUUUUGUGUGAAGAGGUUCUUAUUCUUUCUAAUAUUUGGGGAAAUUCUGGGGGCUUUUUGUGUUUUAUAUGUAUUUGAUAAGGUACCUUUAUCCUCCUGUUAAAAGAGGGACUUAGAAUUAAACCAGAGUUCUUGCCACUUGCUAUUUUUUAUUCUGUUGGAAAAAAAUAAUUGGCA